GGUGGCCUCUGCUUGGUGAAGGGAGGCCGCGGAGGGCGGGCUGGCGGCCCCACGCCCCAGCUUUCUGCUCCGGAGUCACCUCCUCCUGACUGCGGAACUCUUACGUUAUCUUGAAGUUAAUCUGUGGUUUGGAACACAUCAUCAGAUAGAAGACCUUUUACAGUGGACAUUUUUCUCUGAAGAAGUAGGAAGACCUAUUUUUGCAGAAAUUUUGCAUGUUUCAGUUUUAGGAGGCUGGGGACUUCGGACAAUGCCUAUGUCAUUAGGAUGGAGCCCUCAUGAUGGGAAUAAUGCUAUUAGAAAAGAGUCCACAUGCAGCUCCACAGCCUGUU